UACGGAGGGAGCUAGCGUUGUUCGGAAUUACUGGGCGUAAAGCGCACGUAGGCGGCUUUGUAAGUUAGAGGUGAAAGCCCGGGGCUCAACCCCGGAAUUGCCUUUAAGACUGCAUCGCUUGAAUCCGGGAGAGGUGAGUGGAAUUCCGAGUGUAGAGGUGAAAUUCGUAGAUAUUCGGAAGAACACCAGUGGCGAAGGCGACACACUGGCCCGAUACUGACGCUGAGGCGCGAAAGCGUGGGGAGCAAACAGG
rnacentral:rRNA from 1 species